UUGAAGUUUGAGGAUAUGACGAUGAAGAAUAUGAUGACGGAGAUAACACAGGCGGGAGGGAGCUGGGGCACAACGAAUUAUUUGGUUCGACCCCGAGCGCAGCCGCCUGCUUUGGAAUCUCACUCCCCUUUUGGCUUUGGCUAUGAUGGAGGCCUCUCAUCGCCAUUUACUACUACUACUACUUAUCAGUUCAACAACAGGAAUUGUCGGCUUCAAAGACCGUCCGCUCUUCCCACUUCAAUCUUGUCGUCUGUAGCUAAAGAGCCCCUCACCCUUUCCCGAGCCCUCCUGGAUGAUACUACUUCUUCUUCUGAUGCGGAGGAGCUUAAGAGUGUUGCUGAGGCUGAUCCUUCACUAACACUUAAGAAGAGGGCAGCUGAGAUAUCUCCCGAUUUGAAAGGAACUUCUGUAUUUCUUGUAGGGAUAAACUGUUCCAUCAAAUCCAACUUGGGGAAACUUCUUGCUGAGGCACUGCGAUACUAUUACUUUGACAGUGAUGAUUUGAUUGAAGCGGCUGCCGGUGGAAAAUCUGCUGCUAGAUUAGUUUUCCAGCGGGAUGAGAAGGGUUUCCGUGAAUCUGAGACAGAGGUACUGAAGCAGCUGUCCUCCAUGGGCCGUCUUGUGGUUUCUGCUGGAAAUGGCACUGUUCAGUGUGCAGCCAAUCUGGCACACUUGAGACAUGGAAUUUCAAUAUGGAUUGAUGUCCCUCUAGACAUGGUAGCCAGGGAGGUCAUGGAAAAUGAUAUUCAACUUCCUGCAUCUGACCUCACAGUUUCUGGAUCUUAUUCUGAGAUUUUGACUCAGCUGACUGAACUGUAUGAAAGAAGCCGGAGUGGAUAUACUGCAGCUGAUUCAACUGUUUCGCUCCCAAAAGUAGCAUCUAAUUUCGGUUACAAGGACCUGGUUGAAGUAACAGUUGAAGAUAUGGCUUUAGAGGUUCUCAAGGAGCUCCAAAAACUAAUGAGACUUAAAAAGAUGAUGGAAGCAGCCGCUAGACCAUUUUAAUCUCCAAGACCUUUUGUCACUGCCAUUAACUUUGGAGUAGCAAGAAGUGACUUGCGUCCAAGUAAGUAACUGCACCACAUUGUCCUGGAGUUCUGAGUUGAUCUAAGAAGUCAUUUCAGUUUCAGCCUAUAUUUGUCUGGAGCCCAUUUCUGUGAAACCUUAUAGAUGUUGCAGCCGCUACCUGCCAAAAUAUCUCAAAGAAAGCUAUUUACUCUACAGACUUGAGAAGCUUGUUAUACGUUUAUUUUUUUGAUGGAAUUAGACGUCAUCAUCGCAGCAGGUUGAUGCAUGGAAUUGUGACGGAGAUAUUGGUUUGUAACUGCCUCAGGCUGGGGAAAAGGAGUUCCCAGAUCUUGAUUUCCACCUUAGGCAGUGAGGCUGCAUUCGCCUGCCACAAAUGGAGAAGUUGGAGACCUGCGAUGACCUAUUUCAUGGGUUGAUUGAUAAUUGUGACGAGGAUGUUCUCACUAGUUCAUAGUACGCAGUAAUGGUGUUCAGCUUUUGAGUUGUGUUAUGGAAAUGUUACGAAUCUAUUGUGAUUCUUGAUCCUAAAUUAGUUCAGAGCUAAGUAAAUGGAAUGUUAAGAUGAA